AUAUAAAUAACAUUAUUACUAUUUAUGUUUAGUGAUUUUUUUUGAAUAAUUUUGAUUUUUUAUUUAAGAGUAAAGGGUGAGAAGUAAAAGUUUAGGAAAAAAAUAAAAAAUUUUGGAGAAUAAAAAUUUGAGGGAAAGUAAAUAGAGAAAGUAAAAUUUUAGAGGGAAAAUAUUUUAAAAAAAAAUUGAAGGGAGGAGAGUUUGAGGUAGAUGAGAAAUAAGAUGGGAAGAGAAUAAAAGUUUUAGGAGAAAAGUGAGAGUGAGUAAAAAUUUUGGGAGAAAAUAAAAAGUUUGGAGGACUUUUGGGAGUAAAAUUUUGAGAAAAAGUAAAUGAAAGAAUAAAAUUUUGGCGGGAAAUAGAUUUUGAAUAGAUUGAGGGGUUGAGAGGGGAGGGGAGUAAAAGUCUUAGGGAGAAAGUGAGAAGAAGUAAAAAUUUUGAGGGAAAAAUAAAAAAGUUUGGGAGUUUAAGAUAAAAAUAUAAAAUAUUAUAGUUUAAUAUUCGAAUUUUUUGAGUUAUUCGAAUUCGAAAACUCAAAUCGAUUUGAACUCGAAAUUAAAAAAAAAAUUGAGUUGAUUCGAAUAACUCGAUUAACUCGAAUAAUUCGAUUCGUUUAACUCAAAAUUCAAAUUUUUUUUCGAUUUUUUCAAAUCGAAUCGAGUUUUGCUCACCCCUACUACUACUUUCAAUUAAUUAGAGACCACAUCUAAAGGAUUCUAUAGGAAGCUACGGAACCUAAAUCUUCCUUCUAAAAUCAAAAUUACAAUAUGGCGAAUAUCGAAAAAUUUUAUCCCUACUUUAUCUAAUAUGUAUUACAAGCGACUAGAGGCGAAUGCGAUAUGCCCAAUAUGCGGGGGAGGGGUUGAAAUGACGGACCAUGUUUUUCGAAGUUGCCCUGCUUCAAAGGAUGUUUGGAAAUUAGUAGGGUACUCGUGGAUAAUGUCAAAUACAACUCAGGAAACGUUUGAAUGGCUUACCUGGGUAUUCAGUGUAAGUUCUGUUCUUUAACGGAGGGUUUUUUGUUGUGCCCUUUGGGCCUUGUGGAUUGAAAGGAAUAAGCGUGUGCAUGAGAACUCCGCAAAAUCGGGCAGAGAGGUAGCCAAUUUCAUUCAAAGUUACAUUAAAGAACUAGAAGGUAUCGAAGAACGAGGGCUUACCAGGGGAGUUAUUAGCGCGAAACUGGAACCUCCUUCGGGGGUUUGUAUUAAAAUAAACUUCGAUGAGGAUUUUGAUUGGGCACAUUCUAGGUCGAGGUCGGGGAUAGUGGCCAAAAACGCCCUGGGGAAGGUGGUUGCCUCUAGAUCGGUCAUACAUGCAAAUGUUGGGGCGGCUUUUGCAGCGGAAGCUCUUGCCCGUUUAUGGGCAGUACAAACGGGGUUAGAUUUGGGUUUCACAGAUAUGAUUAUAGAAGGAGACUCUUUAUCAGUUAUAAAGAAAUCCAACUCAGAUUCACAAGACAAAUCAGAAAUAAGUACUUAUACCCGGAAUAUAAAACGAAAUAUCAACAGUUUUCGGUCUCUACGAAUCAAACAUGCAAGACGCUCGGCUAAUCAACUUGCUCAUGUAAUAGCUACUGAAAGUUUGAGAAAUGGUGAAGAGUUUUACCUGGAAGAGAAGGUCCCGAGAUUCGUUGUAAGGAUAAUGGAAGAAGAAUGGAUUAGAGCCCGAUUGAGGAGGAAGAUGGUAAAAGCUCUUCGAUCCCUGGGAUAAAGAAAGCUUAGAAAUGUGUUUUUGAGAGAAAUGAUGGUCUGUAACAGGGAUGGAAAAUGGAAAGUUUUCUGUGGGAAAUGAAACCGUUGGUUUUGAAUUGAAAGAUGAGGGGAUGGGACGGGUACACACUUCUCGAGAGGAUAGGCUGGCUUAGUUUUCUUUUGCUGUUUUAGAUUUUUGGGUUUUGUUUUUUCUUUUGGGCCCGGUUUUGGACUUCUGGUUUGUUUUGAC
rnacentral:lncRNA from 1 species